GUAGUCAUAUGCUUGUCUCAAAGAUUAAGCCAUGCAUGUCUAAGUAUAAGCAACUUGUACUGUGAAACUGCGAAUGGCUCAUUAAAUCAGUUAUCGUUUAUUUGAUAGUACCUUACUACAUGGAUACCUGUGGUAAUUCUAGAGCUAAUACAUGCUAAAAACCCCGACUUCAGGAAGGGGUGUAUUUAUUAGAUAAAAAACCAAUGCCCUUCGGGGCUCUUUGGUGAUUCACAAUAACUUAAUGGAUCGCGUGGCCUUGCGCCGGCGACGGUUCAUUCAAAUUUCUGCCCUAUCAACUUUCGAUGGUAAGGUAUUGGCUUACCAUGGUUUCAACGGGUAACGGGGAAU
rnacentral:rRNA from 1 species